UAAGUACUAUGUAAAAUUAUUUACGUUUUCGCCUAUCUCCUUAAACUCUUUAUUCAUCCGUAACAAAAACGACCUUUCUGAAUUUGUAUCUUUUUCUAGGAAGAUGGAAAAGAUAGUUUAACAUCUUUAAUUUUUGUUUAAUAAAUUUUAAUGCCUUUUAACAAAUCGUAUAAAUAUGUAUCCUCGUUCGAAAUGAAUAUUCCUUAUUAUAUAGAAAGAAAACAAGCGAUAAAAUACUUAAAAAUAUCAAUACAUAUUUCGUUGUCUUCGUUGUUACUAUAACAGCUGAAUCAUAUGGAACCAUGUGAAUCAACGGCUAAAAAGAAAUAAGUGACUGAUAAAAAUAUCUGCUGAUAGCAACGCAAAAGUAAUAUUAAGAUAAGAAAUACUUCUCACAAUACUUUUUUUUCUGUAAAACGUUUCAAUUUUCAUUUGUUCAUUGUGAUAUCAGUUUCACCAUAUUACGAGUCUUAUUUCUGACUGUUAGCAUACGUUGUUGUUUAAAUAAACGAAAAAUUAUGACUGCUCGUUUAUAUUACAUAUAGCAUAGCAACAUAAUUUGAAACUUCAUCCGUUUCCGCGGAUGUUGCGUGGUAAGUGUCAAAGUUCUCAAAUGACUUAAUCUUUCGGUAAUAUCAUCGUAACGAUAAGUAAACGAAAUUGUGUAACAAACAAACAAUGGGAUGCGUAAAAAAUUUUUAAUUUUGAAAUUGCAAAGUUGUGACGUUGUAUGGUGAUGUUUUUCAAAAGCAGAUUUACCAAGGAGGGAAAGAAAGCUACGGUUGCGGCGCGCCGGUUCGUUAUAACCAGAAAGAAAGAGAUAAAAAUAUAUUUGUUGCAUGUAUACACGUUGUGUACAUUCAACUUUCAAGGAUGCACUGUAUCACGUAUUUUCCAUUUCCGACAGACUCCUUAGUUUUCCCAUCGUAUCUGUUUUGGAAAGUAUGACGAAAUAUGUUGAAAGACAGUUAUAUUAUAGUUAUGUACAUGUAAUCUACAUAAAAAUUAUAACUGAAAGAUAAAAAUUUGCUCAUUAUUAA